GCACUUGGCAGCAUUAAAGGAGUCAGGAAGGACAACAAUAGCAAGGAACUGCUUGAGGACACAAAGCUGGAAUCACAAAGAAGGGAGCAGCCAGAGAUGUCAGCAGAGCUCUGAAAACAGAUAUGGCUUCAUGAGUGAGAGAGAGGCUGGGUUUCUGGAAAAAGGCAGAUUCAACCUGGUGAGAACUAGAUCGUCACAGACUGCCGAUGGGUGCACCUCGUUUCAGCCACUUGGGAGGGCUAUUUGGUAGCACUUAUUAAAACUCAAAGAUGCAUGUGUCCUAGGAUACAGAUAUACCUCUUCCUGGCAUCUAUCCUAGAAGAGGAUGUAAAUGGAUGUAAUGUGCACAACGAGGGAUACACAGAGAUUUUCAACAGAGUUGCCUGUAAUAACCAAGAGGUGGAAAAUGAUCUAAUAUCCAUCUACAGGGGAGGAAUCACAACGUGGAAGGCCAGGCAACAUCUGUUAGAACCGAGAUGAGAGAGAACAACAGAAGAGCCAUGACUGGACCAAUGCCAGUUGAUGCCUGCAAGUCUGUCACCAUGGAAGUCAACACAAGAAAAUAUACCUUUCAAUCUUUCUCUGCUACCUCCUCCUUUAAUAUCUAAACUUCUUAAUUUAUAAAAUUAAGACUCAAAGAAUUAAUCAAGAAAUGUCUAAGCAAAUGUUUUGUACUGUAUUGUUUUAUUCAAUUUACAGUAAACCUUAAUAAGAAUUUGAUAACUUUAAACUUACAAAAUAUAUUCCAAUUCAUUUCCUUAUAGAAUCUCUAUGAAAUAGCUAUGGCAGGCAUUGUAAUCCCCAUUUUCCACAUGGGUAAACUGAGGCAUACAAAAAACUCCUAUUAGGGGCUGCAAUCCAUGCUAAACAUUGUAAGCCACAUCCAGCAUGAGUGGAGGAAUUGGCUAGUUAGUUUUGCAGAGGCAUGCUCAAGUGAA